rnacentral:lncRNA from 1 species
GAACAAGUCUGUGCAGUCAGUGAAGUCUGCAGAGUAACUCAGCUCCAAAUUAGAAACCUAAGGCUGAGUUCCCCAAACUGGGUGCAUUCAUUGUGCCUGCAUACCUGAAAUGUCUACCCUGGGGCAGCAGGCAUGACCUGGACCUACAGGAGAUGUAUGCAUUUCUGGAGAGGCAUCUGUAGGCAAGAUGGGAUGCCCUAAGGAGGACUGGAUUGCACUCCACAUCUGCAUUUAGGUACGUCCAGAGGUGGGUCAUCAGAAUCAGUUGCCAGGACUGAUUGUAUUGACUGGGUCUUCUCUGACUACCACGGGAGCUCAGACAGCUCGCAUGCAGACACCUACAAGCACACACGUAGGUUUCUUAAUAUAGAGUUGGCCACCAUUCCCAGUAUGUGAUCGUGGAGUGGAGCAUGACCCUAGGGGAUGGAUGAAGGCUUCAGAUCCACUAGCAGAUCCACUCACAACAGCCAUGCCACUGAAGUCCCAAGAAUGGUGCACCUCAGCUAAAAUUACCAGGAUGUGCUACAGAAAGAAAGAAAAUAUUCCCCUAUUCCUGCCCGUAACAUGUCACACACACACCAGUAUCUAAAAUCUCCCCUUCCUUCCUGAUGAGGUCAGGAAAGUUUUGCUUCGUGCCCUUCAUGCCAUAAAUACAAGAGAUGACAGACGAAUGAGGGUACAACAUGCACCGGGAAGCGGGUAGGGGUGAAAAAGGACGUGAGUAACCAAAAAACACUGAUGUAGCAGCUCCGAUUAGACACGUCUUUGUCAGUGGGGGUCGGGGGGGAGGGUCAGUUGUUGGUGGCUCAUUCUUUCUUUCCUCUCCUAAGUGCGAGAUGUCGGUGGCGAGGCAGCUGGUGCUCCGUGACAGCUGCUUGUCACGCUGUUCAUAAUUGCCCCAUUGAUACCUUGCACUGCCUCUGGCUGUUUGUUGCACCCACCUGUUGUCUUUGGGCUGAGCUCCUCAUCUCAGCAUUACCGGGGCUGCUGCUUUCCUGCGUGCCUCCUCCAACCCCGCCACGGGCCCCUGUGUGCUACCACAAGGGAGUGAAGGAAGUUACAGCUGCAGUAGUACUGGGGGUGGCCAGAAGAUACCUGACCAAUGCACUGCUUUGAAGCACAUUAACUGGGAGCAACCAAAAGAAAAGUAAGAACAUCUAAUCUUAGGGUCUAUGUCCACCCCCUUCUCACCCCCUUCAGACCUCGUCAUUGGUAUUGGAUGGCUUUAUUUCCACUGGCAGCAAGGCUCAAAGUGUGAGGAAAGACAAGACUGCAAGUAGCCUGUCACUAUUUUAAGUCUUUCACAAUCAUACAGCUUAAAAAAGUGGCCAUUGACGUAUUCUGGAGUUCCAUCACAUGGCUGGAAGCCCCACAAAAUUCUAGUUUUUCUAGAUGUUUGGGAUUUCAAAUUUUGUUUCAAAUCAGAAUAACGGUGCUCUCUACCUCCAGAAAGCCAUGGAGAAAAUUAAUUACAGCUCAAUGAAACAUGAUUCAGCUUUUCAAAUUUUGUAUUAUUUUGUAAUAUAUAAUAUAAAAUGAAAUAUUUUGAAACCAAAACUCAUUUUGAAAGAAGAAA